rnacentral:lncRNA from 1 species
CUGUCUAUAUUGUUUGCAGAAGUCGAUCUUUAUAAUAGUGCUUGAACUAACGUUAAUACAAACAAAGCAAGCAAGCCAACUGAAGUUUUACUCUACAAGCAUUAGGAAAUUAGCUGUAAUGGUACAAUUAAAGCCAGGAGCAUUUGAGAUCGUAAAUAAAUUACUGCAACCUAAAACACAGCCGUAGUCCGUUUUAAAAUCGUUUAAUGUG